rnacentral:rRNA from 1 species
ACGCCAGUCUGCAUGGAGCCGACCUUGAAAUACCACCCUUUAAUGUUUGAUGUUCUAACGUGGACCCGUGAUCCGGGUUGCGGACAGUGUCUGGUGGGUAGUUUGACUGGGGCGGUCUCCUCCUAAAGAGUAACGGAGGAGCACGAAGGUUGGCUAAUCCUGGUCGGACAUCAGGAGGUUAGUGCAAUGGCAUAAGCCAGCUUGACUGCGAGCGUGACGGCGCGAGCAGGUGCGAAAGCAGGUCAUAGUGAUCCGGUGGUUCUGAAUGGAAGGGCCAUCGCUCAACGGAUAAAAGGUACUCCGGGGAUAACAGGCUGAUACCGCCCAAGAGUUCAUAUCGACGGCGGUGUUUGGCACCUCGAUGUCGGCUCAUCACAUCCUGGGGCUGAAGUAGGUCCCAAGGGUAUGGCUGUUCGCCAUUUAAAGUGGUACGCGAGCUGGGUUUAGAACGUCGUGAGACAGUUCGGUCCCUAUCUGCCGUGGGCGCUGGAGAACUGAGGGGGGCUGCUCCUAGUACGAGAGGACCGGAGUGGACGCAUCACUGGUGUUCGGGUUGUCAUGCCAAUGGCACUGCCCGGUAGCUAAAUGCGGAAGAGAUAAGUGCUGAAAGCAUCUAAGCACGAAACUUGCCCCGAG